UGCAAGUCGAACGCUUUGUGGUUCAACUGAUUUGAAGAGCUUGCUCAGAUAUGACGAUGGACAUUGCAAAGAGUGGCGAACGGGUGAGUAACACGUGGGAAACCUACCUCUUAGCAGGGGAUAACAUUUGGAAACAGAUGCUAAUACCGUAUAACAAUGACAACCGCAUGGUUGUUAUUUAAAAGAUGGUUCUGCUAUCACUAAGAGAUGGUCCCGCGGUGCAUUAGCUAGUUGGUAAGGUAAUGGCUUACCAAGGCGAUGAUGCAUAGCCGAGUUGAGAGACUGAUCGGCCACAAUGGGACUGAGACACGGCCCAUACUCCUACGGGAGGCAGCAGUAGGGAAUCUUCCACAAUGGGCGAAAGCCUGAUGGAGCAACGCCGCGUGUGUGAUGAAGGGUUUCGGCUCGUAAAACACUGUUGUAAGAGAAGAAUGACAUUGAGAGUAACUGUUCAAUGUGUGACGGUAUCUUACCAGAAAGGAACGGCUAAAUACGUGCCAGCAGCCGCGGUAAUACGUAUGUUCCAAGCGUUAUCCGGAUUUAUUGGGCGUAAAGCGAGCGCAGACGGUUAUUUAAGUCUGAAGUGAAAGCCCUCAGCUCAACUGAGGAAUUGCUUUGGAAACUGGAUGACUUGAGUGCAGUAGAGGAAAGUGGAACUCCAUGUGUAGCGGUGAAAUGCGUAGAUAUAUGGAAGAACACCAGUGGCGAAGGCGGCUUUCUGGACUGUAACUGACGUUGAGGCUCGAAAGUGUGGGUAGCAAACAGGAUUAGAUACCCUGGUAGUCCACACCGUAAACGAUGAGUGCUAGGUGUUUGAGGGUUUCCGCCCUUAAGUGCCGCAGCUAACGCAUUAAGCACUCCGCCUGGGGAGUACGACCGCAAGGUUGAAACUCAAAGGAAUUGACGGGGACCCGCACAAGCGGUGGAGCAUGUGGUUUAAUUCGAAGCAACGCGAAGAACCUUACCAGGUCUUGACAUCCCUUGACAACUCCAGAGAUGGAGCGUUCCCUUCGGGGACAAGGUGACAGGUGGUGCAUGGUUGUCGUCAGCUCGUGUCGUGAGAUGUUGGGUUAAGUCCCGCAACGAGCGCAACCCUUAUUACUAGUUGCCAGCAUUCAGUUGGGCACUCUAGUGAGACUGCCGGUGACAAACCGGAGGAAGGUGGGGAUGACGUCAAAUCAUCAUGCCCCUUAUGACCUGGGCUACACACGUGCUACAAUGGCGUAUACAACGAGUUGCCAACCCGCGAGGGUGAGCUAAUCUCUUAAAGUACGUCUCAGUUCGGAUUGUAGGCUGCAACUCGCCUACAUGAAGUCGGAAUCGCUAGUAAUCGCGGAUCAGCACGCCGCGGUGAAUACGUUCCCGGGUCUUGUACACACCGCCCGUCACACCAUGAGAGUUUGUAACACCCAAAGCCGGUGGGGUAACCUUCGGGAGCCAGCC
rnacentral:rRNA from 1 species